GCUACGAGGUGUAUGUUCGCAGCAAAUUGUUUACAGUCUGUGGUUUGAUCGUGUUUUUGCCUUUGCUGUAAUGAACUGUGACUUAGUUCGCGUGCACAAAAGUGCCAGAAGAUAGCUUGUGUCUCUCUACAAACUCGCCGUAUGCGUGUCGUGCCAGGCAAAUGUGGACCAACGAUUUUCAUGCUGUGGAGUGCGUUCCCUUUGUCCGUGGUUGUUGUGGAAAGUUCGGUGGACGUCGCAAAGAGCGUUCCGCAGGUCGUCCACUACGCAACGGCAUGUAUGCGGGAAUAACUUUGCAGCACCGGCAACUUGGAGGGCCCUUUUCGACCGCAUCAUACCAUUUAAGUGGUAUGAUGAUGUGGCGAGGCCGUGACCAACAACAGUGUCCACGUCUGGGAGGAGCUAUGAUUGCAGCGGCACAGUGUCUAAUCGGAUGGUAUGACUGAAGUGCACAGAUUGGUGUGGGAUUUGUGAUGCCACUCAACAAGUGGCAUUACAUAUUAAAGUCUGCUUCCGACGCAAAGUGCACGUUAGAUGGGGCACGGCACCUGUGAGCCGUGCAAGCGGGUGAAAGACGGGCCUGCCGGAUAAUGUGCCAUGCAUCGAGGAAGCUUCUGGCAACACCGGAGGAAGUGGCUGCUUUGAAGAGUAUUGCCAUGGAUUUUCACCGCCACAACAACGAACAACGGACUUCUGGCUUUCUUUCAAGUACCUCGUGGCAAUGACACCGUGGAUUACACUAUCUUUGAUCAUCGUUCCGCAAGUGUGACGUCAUCACUCGACACCGUACUUAAGGAGCCUUGAUGCGACAUCCACUUCAGAGGGCACGGCACUUGGCUGACAAACAAGAUGCCUAAGCCACCGCUACUGCUUUUGCAGGUGACCGUCACUUGGGUCGUAUGCUCUGCGCUUCCCGGCACGUGCAAACUGCGCACCGAUGACGCAACACCACCUCGGCUUGCCUUGGUAAUCACAGCGCCGAAUCUAGACCAGACCGUCGCACACAUCUGGCAGCGGCGAUUGGGGACUACAACGGACACCACCGGAAGAGGACUUAAAAGCCAGCCAGCAAGCGUCCACUUCGGGCAAGGCACCGCAUCGAGUAUGCAGCGUACUCAGCUACUGCUAUUGCAGAACACGCCAGCCAACCUGCACAGCCCUCCGAUGGAUGCCAAUUGUGGCAUUUGUACUCAAGACCACAGUCGUGAUUCAAGGCAAAACAGCUCCAGCCUUGCAGAAAGAUGUGAUAGUGCGAAUACGAGUGCUACUGCCAGUUCUGUGUAAGGAGAGGAAACUAGCCAAGCUACAAGUGAAACAGAUGUUCUUUCUGAUGAAGGUGCAACAAGCUUCAGUGGCAGUGAACUCAAUUUUGCUUUGAAGUUGAGCUCUGAUAGUGAUCCUGUUCAAGAAACAGAUAAAAUGGGCAGAAAUGAAGGAAGUGCACAGAUGCGUGAUGCUGCAGGAGAUAAUUUCAUUAAAUAUGUUGGAAGUCUCGGAAAGGAAACCCUACCUUAUUAGGCAACAUCAAAAGCACCAGCUUUCCUGCUUGUGCUUACAAUACAUACAUUGUCACUGUAGGACUGAAAUGGGCACAAAUUCGAGGACUUCUAACUUUGAUCAAUGCCCUGUUUGGGUAGAAAAUUGUGCCAUGCACUACCUACUUCCUGAGAAAGCUGUGGAAGAGCAAAAAAGCAUUGAGGGUGCACAUUACAAGCCUUCCAUAAAUGCCUUGGACCAUCUUGCAAUGCCAAAAACAAGCCGAGUGUCACCUGUGAUUCAUGUGGUGCAGAAAAGAGGCUUCAAGAGUUAAUGAGUUCUGGGAGUUUCUUUUUGAUGUUUAACUUGAAACAGCAGUUUUUUUUUUUUGCGAUGAAGGCUUGCCCUUAAGGCAUAAUUGUUGGAGCGUAUAUGUGUAUUAUAUGUGUGCUGUGAGGCCUGUGUUGUGUAUGAAUUGAAGCAGUGUUUUGUGAAAUUUGUUACCAUGUAUCCAGCGGUCAUAGCUGGUUGUAACACUGUAGCGGAGGCCGGCUUGCAGUAGGUGACGCGAGCGUUCCGAUUGUAAACCCGUACAUGUCCAUAUUAGGUGGUAUGCAUCUGAUUCCACCACAGGAACGGAGCAGUAUGGACACGUAGCACCCAGUGGUAAAUGCGACCAGUUCCACCUUGAGACAGCAGCCGGUGUAAGGGCGACCCCGGCCCGAAGCCUCCUAAGCACAACUUCCUCCGCCCUAGUAAGGUGAAGGGGGGGGGAGCAGACACACGGUGGGAUAAGAGCGCGUGUGUCCUGCCGGAGAACAUAUUUACGGGCUCGCAGCGAGUUACGGGGUUGGGGUGGGAGGGGAAUAGGUGGAGGAUCAGGAUUAGGAGGGCAGUGUGCCUGCUGGUCAGCAGCAAUGUUGUGAGGGUUCGCUGAAUGGCCUUGAAUCCAGUGUACCUUGACGCAAGUAGCUGUCUUACUAUUCAUAGUGUGUAUUCUCUCGCAGAUUUCCAUCGCCUUAUCGACCUUCUUGAGUUCCUGAAUAGCCGCUAAAGAAUCCGUGAAGAUGUCUAGUUGCUUGAUGGUAGGCAGCUUAGAUGUCGCAUCUUGCAUAGCGUCGUGGAUGGCUUGAAGUUCCAUUACUAGAGUGCUGGCUUCCGUAGAUAAAUAGCGCUGGUGGCCGCUGAUGAAAUUAUGCGUUGUACUCAGGAAUGAUGUUCUUCCGCCGUCUGGGAGAAUGGCAGCAUCCGUAUAGAUUUUGCAGGUGUUAACGCAUGAUGCACUGACGAUGUUGUGUUCGUCAAUAGUACCUGUUGUAUCGCUGCGUCGUAACUUCGUUGGCUUAUUAGUCGUGAUGCUGGUGAAUUCCCAGGGAGGCAUUGGACAGGGCUGAUUGUCAAUCCGAGAGCCGCGGUGAAAAUUAGCAUGCAGCGCAGCGACAGCCGGAAUAAGUUGCUUUUUUAUUUCACGUGCUUUUUCACGUUGCAAAAUUAGCUCUGCAAUUGUGUUGAGCUGGGCAUGUUCCUGUAGGGCUGGUAUCGGAGUGAUGCGGGGCAGUGCUGUGAUUGUGCGCAUAGCAUCGCGAUUAAUCGUCUCCAACUGUGCUAGCUGUGCCAACGUCAGCCGUUGAAAUUGUGCUUGAUAUAAAAUUCGUGGCUGCAAGACUGCACGCACCAACCGUCGAGCUACGUCAGUACGAGCUCCAGCUGCUUUUGCUGCAAUGCGACGAAUAAGGUGAAGUGUUUUUGUCGAACUCUGUCUGGUUUUACGGAGCCAGUGUGCACCACUGCCAGAUUGGUGAAUAUCGAGACCCAGUAUGCGGACCUCAGAAGCCUCAGGGAUUGUCACUGCGCCGAGCCUAAAUGUAAAGGGGUGCUGCGUGAUUCUUGUGCGUCCUUUCUUGUUGGCCACCACAACAUAGCUUGAUUUUUGGGCAGAAAUGUCCAAUCCUGCUUUCCAAGCGUAGUUGUUCAGCACAUCAAGGGCUUCUUGAAGCUGUUGAGUUUCUCUAGAUAUAUCUUUAUGCACGGACCACAAAGUGACAUCAUCUGCAUAGAUUAAGAACCUCACAGCAAAGAAACAACAGUUGCUUGGACUCUUAAAGCAAGUUGGCAAGCCUCUACACACUAACUUACAGAAGCUGUCAUCAGGGCCUCUAGUGCCAGGCGCUUUUUCUGGCAUCACCGAUGGAAGUUUGUACCGUAGUGUAUGAAAGUAGGUAAACAUGGCAUGGAGUGACAUACAUUGACCUUCAACAGUGAUGGGUCACCUGUGCUUGAUUCCAGCAAUAGCACAAUUUGGCCAGUUCAAGUAGUCAUAAAUGGACCGCCAGUUUUGAUGUGGUGGUAAAACGUGCUCAUCUCAGGGCUAUGGUUCUCAAGGACUCGCACACCGAUGCAUCUCUUCAAGACGCAGUUUGUUGAAGUCCCGAAUAUUGGAACUCUAGUAUGAUCUCUUGCUGAGGGGGUAUGAACAUGCUGCAUCAGCAUGUCCGCGCUGGUGCAUAACGGCUGUUGUGACCAUAGACUAUAAUUGACAGAAGUGUAGUGUUAGUGCACAUGUGAGUUGUAAGCAAGGCGCUUUAGUAGUGUGGGAAUGAUUGCUUAUGUGGAUUUGUGUAAACGUUAUCUUUUUCGCUUUACACAUUAUCGUCACUUUGUUUUAUAUAAUUUACUGCAUUAUUACAAAUAUUAUUAAAUACAUCAGAGGACCUCAAGCACAGUACUAGGAUAUUUAAACCUCUAUGCCACUGAUAUGCCCUUCGGCAAGCCCCAUUGAACACCCUUGGGGAUUUCUCUUGGGCAAGCAAGCAUGCUGAGACACUUGAUGAAUUUAGAUUUGGCCGUCCAUCUCUGGGUCAACAGAGUGACAACUGUGUAAAGUUCUCGACCGCGGAGUCGGCUAGCUAUCUGCACACUUGGUUAAAAAACUAGCUCGGGUCGACAGCGGCCCGCGAAUGUGCCACUGUGGACCAUAAACAUGCGAUGCAAAGUAAGGCACAGGCGUACACUCACCCCAAGCAGCUCCCACGCAAAAAGGGUGCCUCGCAAACUUGGUGGAGCAAACAGACAAACAACCUUUCUCUUUGAAACGCAAUUUUACUCUCUGUAUGACACAGGCUACUGUACACCGCCAGGGCCAUAAGACGUGGGGCUCAAGGCGGAGGGGAGGUGCCUGUGGUCAGUGGAGGGGGUCCAACCGGAGGUGGCGGCGAGGCUGCAGGCAUGCAGCCCACUGCUUGUGGGACUUUCUCCUCAAUGUCUUCGAGGUGCCUCGGUUUCCGAGAAAACGGGGCCUGGUAGUGACGGUGCAGUGUUCGUUGCUUACAACUGAUUAGAUAUACAGUAGACUUCUGAUAAUUCAAACUCGAGGGUGUUCCAGAAUUUUGUUUUAAUUGUCAGAUGCAGGUAUGAAUAUGUCUUGGGGCAGCACAUCAGCUUAUACUGUAAUGAAAUAUCCAUUUAUUCAUAUAUUGAAAAUAAAUGGCAAAUUCGUGACUGCUCUCUUGCAGCAAGCAACUUCAAAACAAAAAUUUUUCUAUUCCAACAAUGACAGUUUUUCUCCUUGUGGUUUUUACUGCUUUGAGAAGUGUAGACAGGUAGUUGGCUUCACUUUCAUAUGAACGCAAAUGUUCAGCUAGAAGUUAUUAAAGCAGCUCAUACUUCUGGUAUGGACAAGCAAGAAUUACGGAUGAACAGAUUUAACUGAAUGAUGCAGUUUGAAUUAAUUAGCUUUUACGUACAUUGACAACAUAGUGGGCCAACCAAAAUAUAGAUUUGUUUGAAUGAACUGAGAGUACCAAAUAUCAGUUUGAAUUAUCAUGAGUUUACUGUACUGUUAACAGGUGUCGUAUGCCCGGCUGUAGUUUCAUCUCGAUCCCCGCUGGUUUUGUUUAUCACACUGACGGUCACACGGGCUGCUUGCCUCCGUGUUUGUGUUGUCUGAUGACGGCAGUGCACUGCUUGCAGUUGCUUGCAGCAGUAGGUGGGCAUGUAAAACUUAAUUGGAGGACCACUACGAACACGGAGCAAACAUAAAAGCACAUGACAGUGCAGGCGACCUUGUGACUAGGGCCUGCCCGUGUCCCUCUCGCAACAGCUACCUAAAACCAGUGCCGCUUGGCAGGGUUGUGGAUUUAUGGCUUCAAUAGAAACCUAAUCGGGCCUGCCACUUGGCUGUGUGAUGUGUCCAGUGUGCCAGAAGCAACAAAUAAAAUGCUAUUUAGGAAGUCCUUUGAACGACAUUCAUACAGGGAUCACAUAGGAGGACCAUGUAUGGUAUAAGCACAUCAAAAAUGUGAACAAUGUUUUGUACCCCGGCCACGGCAGCUGCAUUUUGAUGGGGGCAAAAAUGCCCGUGCCCUGUGCAUUGGGGGCACGUUAAAGGUGUCCUGGCUUUCAAAAGUAAUGCAGAGUCUCCAACUAUGGUGUGCCUCAUAAUGUAGUCAUGGUUUUGGUACGUAAAAGCCCACAAUUUCUAGUUUUGAGAGCGAAUUAUCCACUUGAAUCCUGAUAUUGUGAAUUGAACUUUGGCACAAAGUGCAAGGAUUGAUGUAGAAGAAAAUUUGCUGUUCUGAGAUCGGUGUUCAGUGUGUGUCUCUACUCUACACACAAAUAACCUUUUCAGCAAGCGUAGAUUUCUGCUGAACUGAUUUGACACAUUUUACUCAAGUACUUGAAAUCAAUGGUUUUGGAAAUUGUGAUGUUGCAGUUAUUGUUUACUAUAUUUUAUUAGUAAUUAGUGUAUAAUUACAUAAUAUUAUAAUUUACUAUAUAUGUGUGUGUGUGUGUGUGUGUGUGUGUGUGUGUGUCAUUAAUAGUGGCCACUGAGGGUAAGAAUUGGUCUCCACGAGUUGUUUUUUUUUUUCUUCAUAAUCUCUGGUGCACAUUGAAAGAGAUACCUUUCUGUGAGAAUAAACGAUGACUAUGACGAAUGUGAAAUGCUUGGUUUUUCAGCAGUUUUGAUUGACUUGCUCUUUUAGACACUACUGCUGGCUAGAGCUUGA